CACUAAUUCUGCGACUUUAAGCUUUAUUACCAAAAACAUCUGUGAUAAAUUUUAAACUAUACUAAACUUUUAAAACUGUAUAACUGUUGCGAAAUUUCACUGACUCAGGCUUCUUCUCGAUUUGAUAUCCAAACAAAAUUGAAAAAUAUGUCUCCCCCAAAAAAUAAAACUACUCCUGGGAAAAACUCAAAUGGACAAAAAAACAACUACAGGUCCCCAUAUGCCCAGACAUCUCAUGUAAAACAAAAUAACUCUCAAGACAAGAACAAGAAAAAUACUAAAGAAAAACAUGAUAUUAUAAAAAAUGGUACUGAAGUUGAUGCUAUUAAAUUCCAUUGUCCCAUUUGUGAAAUACCUGUAUUAGAUGAUCAAAAGGGGGUUGCAUGUGAUUGUGAUAAAGAUAAGUGGUAUCAUAUCGAAUGUGUUGAUAUCACAGAUGAAAAAUAUGAGGAAAUGAUGAAGAUACCAAAGGAUAAUAUACAGACAUGGCAAUGUGAAUUAUGUACAACACCAAAAAAUCAAGGUGGCUUAAAUCAAACAAAUACAACAAUAAAUGAAGACAGAAACGACCCUUCUAAGGCGACAUUAGAAAUGACAGAUGGUGGAAUGACAAACACCAAACUGAUGGCAACAGGACAAAGCACAGACAUGGAUAGUAUAGUUAAAAUAUUGAUGGAGGACAUAUCUGAUCUAAAGAAUGAGUUACUUGCAACAAAGACAGAAAAUAAUAGGCUCCAAGACGCACUUGCACGAAAGACUGAUGUCAUAUACAAGCUAGAAAAUUUGAUCCAUGAUUUCACACAGGGAAUUUUCCCGGAGCCCUCAUGUCAAAAAAGAGAAAUAGUUCACAAACGUACUGAGGCGCUGAUGAAGGAGUCUGAAUGCGGCCUGACAGUGAGUAAAGAGGACUGCCCACAAGAUCACAGUGUAACAAUUGUCAAAGAUCAUAAACGGAGAACUAGCGUACCGAUAAAUAAAAGCCAGAACAACAAACCUGAACCUUCUAUCGCGAAAAUUGAGGAGCAGGAGAAUAAUGAAAACAAGAGGGCAGCUCUCCUGGUCGCAGAUUCAGCGGCGAGGCAGGCUGGAGACAUAAUUCAGGGUAUGUGUAAGAAAGACUUAGAUGUAGAAAUCAUUGCAGAUGCCAAAAUACAGGACAUUAGUCGAGUUCUAAAAAGUAAAACCACUAUGCCACAAAAAGUCCUACUGCACGUUGGAUCAAGAAAUCUUCUGGGAUCUAAAACACCUAACCAAGUCAUGAGGCCACUAUGGUACACAAUAGAAGCUAACAUAAAACGUUUUCCUAAAACUAAAUGGUAUGUCGCAUCCAUUCCGCCAAGAGAGGACAUUAAUAAAAGAUUUCUUCAGGAGACAAAUAAUGCAUUAAAAUUCAUGUGUUGGCAGCUGAAUGCCACAUUCGUCGAUAACACUGACCAUCUUAAGGAACACCACUUAAACUGGAAUGGUAGGCAACUAAACUGGGAGGGGUCAAGAAUAUUGGCUGAAAGACUGAUUGAUGCUCUUCAACUACCUCACCAAAUCCUAGGGAAUGAUACAGUGAGCCCAAACGGAAAUAUAGCCUCACCAAAAAACCAAACUUAGACAGCAAAAACAAGAAAUCAAGUCUAUUAACUGUUUUCCAUCUUAAUAUUCAAAGAGGCCUGCAGGUAAAAAUAGAUAGAUUGUUAAUAGAUCUUCACAAAUACAGCCCUGAUAUCCUGAUACUAUCUGAACAUGGUUUGCGAAAGGAGGAGCUCCUCUGCACUUCAAUUCCGGGUUAUUCCCUUGUUUCCUGUUUCUGCCGGACCCUUUACCUCUGGGGGGGAAUAGCAAUAUACAUUAAAGAAGACAUGCUAUCCAACACAACAGAAAUAAAGCUGGAAGAGCCAUACGAACCAACUGAAAAAGAAUUUGAAACAGUGGGCUUAAAUAUUCAAACAAAGAAGACAAACCUGAUUUUGAUUGGAACCUAUAGAUCACCUGACCCAGGUAAUAUAAAGGAAUUCCUCACUAAACUUGGAGGCCUGUUGCAGAAUUUCUCAGCAAAGCAUCACAAAAUAGUGAUCCUGGGUGACACAAACAUUGACACUCACAAGACAUCUGAGCAGAACUUCAAAGACCUAAAAAAUAUGUUGACUCAAAAUGGCUGCCAAAUCCAUUAUAUGCCUCCUACCAGAGUGACUCCAAACUCAGCCACAAGCCUUGAUGGAUGUUAUCAUAACCUGUCACUUUCAGAUGUCGAAGCCACAGUCUACCCGAGCCAUUUCUCAGAUCACCAUGCUGUUUUGUGCAAUAUAAAAUACAAAUACAACCCGGAACUGCCGACAUACAGGUAUGCAAGAAGCUAUUCAAAAGGAAACAUUCAAGAGUUAAAAUCAAAAUUACAGGAUUCCAACUGGUCACCAGUGAUUGAGACACACGCUGUCGAUGAAAAAUACAAUAUUUUUGCCACAAAAAUGCGACAGAAAAUGGAUGAAACAAUGCCAAGAGGACCAAGGAAGAUCACUACAGCAAAGGGGUACAAGUUUUGGGACGAAAAAACUACUCUUCUGAAACACAGAAUGCAACUAGCUAGAGAGAAAUUCAUCUCAACUGCAUCAGAGGACCAUAGGCAGCAAUACAAAGAACUAAAAAAUCUAUAUGACCAUGAUGUGAAACACAAAAAAAAGAUACAUGUCAAGAGUAGGAUCAUGGAAUCAGACAACAGAACCAAGACCCUAUGGAAAAUGAUCAAUGAUGAACGGAACAGAAGUAAUCUUAACAGGCAGGAAAACCUCUGUUUGGAAAUAGAGGGCCAGAAGAUCACUGAUCCUUUUCUCACUAGCAACAUCCUAAAUGAAGCCUUUACACAGCCAGCAACAACAACAGGAUUUGACCCUCCUCUAAGACGUAUGGCCAAGCUGACAGGCAUCAAAGCAUUGAGUGAAUUUCAGAUGAUAAAUACAGCACAACUCCACCAUCUCAUAGACAAACUAAAAUCGAACAACUCUGCUGGGCAUGAUGACAUCACUGGAAAAAUAUUCAAAAGUUGUAAAGAAGAACUAACAAAGCCUCUACUGGAAAUAGUAAAUUCUUCCCUAAAGCAAGCUGUAUUCCCACAGGCUCUCAAGAUCUCUAAGAUUUUUCCAAAAUUCAAAGGAGGAGAUAAAAUGGAUCACAAGAACUAUAGGCCCAUAGCAAACCUACCUAUAACCUCAAAAAUUAUCGAACGAGCAGUAUAUGACCAGCUUAUCCUGCAUCUGGAGAGCAACAAACUCAUAACAGCACAACAGCAUGGAUUUAGAAAACGUCUAGGCACUACAACUGCAAUAUCUGAAUUGUGUGACAACAUAAACCAACUUUGGGAGGAGAAAAAUACUGUUAUGGGACUGUUUAUAGAUCUUCAAAAGGCCUUCGACACACUAGACUGGAACAUCCUAACUCUGAAAUUGAGAGAAUUGAAAAUAGAGGGAAGAGCAUUGGAGUGGAUAGAGGACUACCUCACCAACAGAAAGCAGUAUGUGGAAAUAGUGCAGCACAAGAAAACUGCUCUUAUAAACUACAAAUCCUCACUCAGAGCAGUGUCCCAGGGUGUGCCCCAGGGAUCCAUCCUUGGGCCACUGCUGUUCCUUGUCUACAUCAAUGACUUUCCCAAGGAAAUUGACAACAGAAACAGCUGCAUAUUGUUUGCCGAUGAUACCACUAUCUUGAUACCAUCGCAGAAGCUUCAAGACCCACACAAAAUUGUCGAGACAGCACUGGAAGAGGCCACAGAUACAUGCAAUAGACUGAAGUUGACCAUUAAUAGGAAGAAGACAGUCCACAUCAGAUUCACUCCAAUCAAAAACAACCCGGAUGAGAGACAAACAAAUGAUGACUCAAUGAUGACAGACUGUACAAGAUUCCUGGGGAUAACAAUUGACUGUCACUUAACAUGGAGAAAACAUAUAGAGCUGUUAUGCAAGAGGUUAGCAUCUGCCGUGUAUGUUAUACGAAGAAUCAGAAACAUAUCAGAGAAAAGUACAUCAUUCAUAGCAUACCACUCACUCUUUGCCUCACAUUUAAGGUACGGUAUUGUUGCCUGGGGAUCGGCAUCCCAGACACACCUUGACAGAGUCCUGAGAAUACAAAAGUGGGCCUUGAGGACGAUAUUGGAGAAAAACAUGAUGGAGCACUGUAAACCAUUAUUUGUGGAGAGUAAAAUACUCACAGUAGUCUCAUUGUACCUGCUCGAAACAAUAAAUCUGGUUAAGAGGAAAGGCCUUACCACAAGACAGGAAAAACACUGCUAUGACCUUCGAAACAACAAGAAUCUUGACUUGCCACAACAUAGACUGAAGAAAUACAGCUGCUCACCAACAUAUGCAGGAUCAUACUUUUUCAAUUUACUGCCGCGUGACCUGAAGGAUAUGGAUGACGAGGCAGCAUUUGCCAGAGGCCUGAAGUCAUACCUAUUGGCCCGACCCUACUAUGCAGUAUCAGAGUAUGUUGAAGAGCAUACAUUUCAACAUAUACGACAUGCUCAUGGAGGAAAUCACCUGCCGUGAAAAAUAAUGACGACUCCCCAGCCUUCAGACUGUCAGGAGGACAAAUACAAGUAACAAACGACGAGUAUCAUGUUGGCAUUGAGGAAAUAGGAAGCGAACUUCGCCAUUUCUUGUUCUCGUCCAUUUUUCGCCACAUGUUGUAGAAGCUAGACCAAAAUGUCGAAGCGAGGUCGUGGUGGAUCUGCGGGAG